GAUGAACGCUGGCGGCGUGCUUAACACAUGCAAGUCGAACGGAGAGCCUAUGACGGAGUUUUCGGACAACUGAUUAGGUUUCUUAGUGGCGGACGGGUGAGUAACGCGUGAGGAACCUGCCUUGGAGUGGGAAUAACACAGAGAAAUUUGUGCUAAUACCGCAUAAUGCAGUUGGGUCGCAUGGCCCUGACUGCCAAAGAUUUAUCGCUCUAAGAUGGCCUCGCGUCUGAUUAGCUAGUUGGUGGGGUGACGGCCCACCAAGGCGACGAUCAGUAGCCGGACUGAGAGGUUGACCGGCCACAUUGGGGCUGAGACACGGCCCAG
rnacentral:rRNA from 1 species